rnacentral:rRNA from 1 species
AUUGAACGCUGGGGCAGGCUUAACACAUGCAAGUCGAGCGGGGGAAGGUAGCUUGCUACCGGACCUAGCGGCGGACGGGUGAGUAAUGCUUAGGAAUCUGCCUAUUAGUGGGGGACAACAUCUCGAAAGGGAUGCUAAUACCGCAUACGUCCUACGGGAGAAAGCAGGGGAUCUUCGGACCUUGCGCUAAUAGAUGAGCCUAAGUCGGAUUAGCUAGUUGGUGGGGGUAAAGGCCUACCAAGGCGACGAUCUGUAGCGGGUCUGAGAGGAUGAUCCGCCACACUGGGACUGAGACACGGCCCAGACUCCUACGGGAGGCAGCAGUGGGGAAUAUUGGACAAUGGGGGGAACCCUGAUCCAGCCAUGCCGCGUGUGUGAAGAAGGCCUUAUGGUUGUAAAGCACUUUAAGCGAGGAGGAGGCUACUCUAGUUAAUACCUAGGGAUAGUGGACGUUACUCGCAGAAUAAGCACCGGCUAACUCUGUGCCAGCCGCCGCCGUAA